rnacentral:lncRNA from 10 species
CCUCAGGCUGGUAGGAAGCAACAGACGAACCCAGAGUGAGGGAGCGUCUACAAAACACCUGCCUCAAAAGUGUCACAGUCACGAAUGACAGUGAAAGACCAGGAAACCCACAGGCUGGGGAAGACUUCAGAGGCAUAAGAGCAGGAUGCGCUGUGGGUCCUGGGGGAGCGUGGACAUUCGUGGAUAAUGGUGAAAUCUGAAGGAAGUCUGUCGUUUCGGUGACAACAUUGUACUCACGUUAAUUUCUCGGUUUUAAUAUUGUCCUUUGGGGAUGUGAGAUAAUAACAUCAGGGGAGCUCACGUGAGGAGUUUAUGGACAAUCCCUAGUAUGUUUGCAUUCUUUUGUGUAAAUCUAAAAUGAUUUUAAGGUAAAAAGUGUUUUUGUUUUUGUUCUGCUUUUGUUCCACUCAGGAGGCAGAGGCAGGAGAAUCGCUUGAACCCAAGAGGCGGAGGUUGCGCUAAGCCGAGACUGCCCCAUUGCCUGGGCAACGAGAGCGAAACUCUGUCUCAAAAAAAGAAAAAAAAAAAAAAGCUUUUGUUAAAGCUAGAAACACUGUAAAGCAAGUUACCACUUCAGAUGUCCUCAUAGAUGCUGUUUUUAUAUUUGCUAUUCAUGGAUUUAUAUUGUUUGGCCUACCUAGAUGCUUUCCUGACUCACAGGUCUUGGCGUGCAUAGAAGGUGAAGACCGUGCUGAGCUCUGGCACGAUGCUCAGGCGGUGUUGCUAUUUUUCUACUGUAGCGUAGUCUACAAAAUUGUGGAGUUUAAACAUGAACGCUGUGAAAGCACUUCAUGCCUCGUUAAAAAGUAGUGAACAUCUCGUAGAAUCUAAACCCACACUUAGCACUUAUGCACUGGUGUGAAUGGGAAGUGCUUGGCAAGUCACUAAUUUUUGACAGUGUAACUGAAAGAUAGGACAACCCACAGGAGAGAAGAAAGAGCCUGUGCUUCACCCACAACCCUCCUGUGAGAUCACAGGAGACUCACUGUGAAAUCGUGACUAUUCAUGCUGCAAAUCAUCCGUAAUCAAAGGAUGACCAUGUGGGACCUAAGUCAGACAUCAAGUUUGUUUUAAAUCAUUGGAUUCUGACUGGCACAGUGACUCACACCUGCAAUCUCAGCACUUUGGGAGGACAGGUCGGAGGAUUAAUUGAGGUCAGGAGUUCGAGGCUAGCCCGAGCAGCUCCAUUUCUACAAAAAAUAAAAAACUAGCUGGGUGCAGUGGUGCACACCUGUGGUCCCAACUACUCAGGAGGCUGAGACGAGAAGAUCGCUUGAACCCAGGCGGCCGAGGUUGUACUGAGCCAUGAUUGCACUGCUGCGCUCCAGGUUGGGCAACACGGCAAGACCCUAUCGUCAAAAAAAAAAAAUCCAUUUGGUACUAUUUACUUGACAGUAAAUUUAUCCCUAAAUCAUUUUUAUUGGAUGAAAUAUAAUUAAACUUUACAAUAUUUCCGGUUAUCACCACUUUUUUUUUUUUUUUUUUUUGCUGGGAAUGUAAGCUCCCUAAAACAAGAUGUGAAACUGAUAGGACUCAAGCAUGUUAAAUUGUGUAAGUCUCUGGAGCUAACUGUGGGCUGGUGACAUGCUGACACCUCCCUCUCAACUAUUCCCCAGCAGGUUAAAUAUGUCCAGCAGAAUCUGAGGGGUCUACAGAUUGUUGUUCCUUGAAAAAAAAAAAUAGGAAUUACUAUGUUACAAGUACUCUCUAAAAC